UAACGAGUACGCGAAACCCUGGUACGCCCACCCAGGGUCGCCGGGAAAUCGGCCCGGCCUGAUGAGCGAUAUUCACU
rnacentral:hammerhead_ribozyme from 1 species